CCUGGCCCCAGAAGUGUUGCAGGAAUGGCUGCUGUGUCAUAUAUAUAUCAGUAGGUAGCAGAGAGGAGAGUGGCUAGGUGUAUGAUCAGUGUUCUGACCUAUGAACACCUGAAUGAUUAGUGACCUAAUAUU